rnacentral:rRNA from 1 species
CCUACGGGAGGCAGCAGUGGGGAAUAUUGCACAAUGGGGGAAACCCUGAUGCAGCGACGCCGCGUGAGCGAUGAAGUAUUUCGGUAUGUACAGCUCUAUCAGCAGGGAAGAAAAUGACGGUACCUGACUAAGAAGCUCCGGCUAACUACGUGCCAGCAGCCGUGGUAAUACGUAGGGGGCAAGCGUUAUCCGGAUUUACUGGGUGUAAAGGGAGCGUAGGCGGUCCUGCAAGCCAGAUGUGAAAGCCCGGGGCUCAACCCCGGGACUGCAUUUGGAACUGUAAGGCUAGAGUGUAGGAGAGGCAGGCGGAAUGCGUGGUGUAGCGGUGAAAUGCGUAGAUAUUAGGAGGAACACCAGUGGCGAAGGCGGCCUGCUGGACGAUGACUGACGUUGAGGCACGAAAGCGUGGGGAGCAAACAGGAUUAGAUACCCUUGUAGUC